GGAGGAAUUAACUAUGAAUAGAUUGCAGGCUUGUGGAAAAUCACUACCGAGCGCAAAGAUUUCGUAAAAUAAAUGUGCAGCGCUGAAAACAGGGAAUUUUGGUGUCCGUGCGCACGAAACAACGCGAAAAAACAGGUUGAACUUAACGGAAUUAAUGACGACUUCCGUGCAAAAAGCCAUCCGCCCGUAGCGAAGCGCUACCAACCUGAUGAUUUCCGUCAGGAGCUCCAUCUGCCACAUUUUUUCCAUACCCUAACAGAGCGGAUCGGUAACUGCGCAAUCACCGG